GAUGAACGCUGGCGGCGUGCCUAACACAUGCAAGUCGAGCGAUUUACUUCGGUACAGAGCGGCGGACGGGUGAGUAACGCGUGGGUAACCUGCCCUGUACACACGGAUAACAUACCGGAAAGUAUUCUAAUACGAGAUAAUAUGCUUUUAUCGCAUUGUAGAAGUAUCAAAGCUUUUUCGGUACAGGAUGGAACCGCGUCUGAUUAGCUAGUUGGUGAGGUAACGGCUCACCAAGGCGGCGAUCAGUAGCCGAACUGAGAGGGUGAUUGGCCACAUUGGAGCGGAGACACGGUCCAAACUCCUACGGGAGGCAGCAGUGGGGAAUAGUGCACAAUGGGCGAAAGCCUGAUGCAGCAACGCCGCGUGAGCGAUGAAGGCCUGCGGGUCGUAAAGCUCUGUCCACAAGGAAGAUAAUGACGGUACUUGAGGAGGAAGCCCCGGCUAACUACGUG
rnacentral:rRNA from 1 species